CUUCAGGUAACCAGGAACCGUACCCCAAACCGACACAGGUGGUCGGGUAGAGAAUACCAAGGCGCUUGAGAGAACUCGGGUGAAGGAACUAGGCAAAAUGGCACCGUAACUUCGGGAGAAGGUGCGCCGGCUAGGGUGAAGGAUUUACUCCGUAAGCUCUGGCUGGUCGAAGAUACCAGGCCGCUGCGACUGUUUAUUAAAAACACAGCACUCUGCAAACACGAAAGUGGACGUAUAGGGUGUGACGCCUGCCCGGUGCCGGAAGGUUAAUUGAUGGGGUUAGCGCAAGCGAAGCUCUUGAUCGAAGCCCCGGUAAACGGCGGCUGUAACUAUAACGGUCCUAAGGUAGCGAAAUUCCUUGUCGGGUAAGUUCCGACCUGCACGAAUGGCGUAACGAUGGCGGCGCUGUCUCCACCCGAGACUCAGUGAAAUUGAAAUCGCUGUGAAGAUGCAGUGUAUCCGCGGCUAGACGGAAAGACCCCGUGAACCUUUACUGUAGCUUUGCACUGGACUUUGAGCCUGCUUGUGUAGGAUAGGUGGGAGGCUUUGAAGCGUGGACGCCAGUUCGCGUGGAGCCAUCCUUGAAAUACCACCCUGGCAUGCUUGAGGUUCUAACUCUGGUCCGUAAUCCGGAUCGAGGACAGUGUAUGGUGGGCAGUUUGACUGGGGCGGUCUCCUCCUAAAGAGUAACGGAGGAGUACGAAGGUGCGCUCAGACCGGUCGGAAAUCGGUCGCAGAGUAUAAAGGCAAAAGCGCGCUUGACUGCGAGACAGACACGUCGAGCAGGUACGAAAGUAGGUCUUAGUGAUCCGGUGGUUCUGUAUGGAAGGGCCAUCGCUCAACGGAUAAAAGGUACUCCGGGGAUAACAGGCUGAUACCGCCCAAGAGUUCAUAUCGACGGCGGUGUUUGGCACCUCGAUGUCGGCUCAUCACAUCCUGGGGCUGAAGCCGGUCCCAAGGGUAUGGCUGUUCGCCAUUUAAAGUGGUACGCGAGCUGGGUUUAGAACGUCGUGAGACAGUUCGGUCCCUAUCUGCCGUGGACGUUUGAGAUUUGAGAGGGGCUGCUCCUAGUACGAGAGGACCGGAGUGGACGAACCUCUGGUGUUCCGGUUGUCACGCCAGUGGCAUUGCCGGGUAGCUAUGUUCGGAAAAGAUAACCGCUGAAAGCAUCUAAGCGGGAAACUUGCCUCAAGAUGAGAUCUCACUGGGAACUUGAUUCCCUUGAAGGGCCGUCGAAGACUACGACGUUGAUAGGCUGGGUGUGUAAGCGUUGUGAGGCGUUGAGCUAACCAGUACUAAUUGCCCGU
rnacentral:rRNA from 1 species